rnacentral:rRNA from 1 species
UCGAGAAUCUUCGUCAAUGGACGAAAGUCUGACCGAGCGACGCCGCGUGCGGGAUGAAGGUCUUCGGAUUGUAAACCGCUGUCAGAGGGGAUGAAGUAUAUGAGAGCUAUCUCUUGUAUUUGACAGAGCCUCAGAGGAAGCACGGGCUAAGUUCGUGCCAGCAGCCGCGGUAAUACGAACUGUGCGAACGUUAUUCGGAAUCACUGGGCUUAAAGGGUGCGUAGGCGGUUUUCUAAGUCACGUGUGAAAUCUUCCGGCUCAACCGGAAAACUGCGCGUGAUACUGGAUAACUUGAGUGAGGUAGGGGUGUGUGGAACUUCCGGUGGAGCGGUGAAAUGUGUAGGGAUCGGAAGGAACGCCAGCAGCGAAAGCGGCACACUGGGCCUUUUCUGACGCUGAGGCACGAAAGCUAGGGGAGUGAACG